rnacentral:rRNA from 1 species
UGGGGAAUUUUGGACAAUGGGCGAAAGCCUGAUCCAGCAAUGCCGCGUGUGUGAAGAAGGCCUUCGGGUUGUAAAGCACUUUUGUCCGGAAAGAAAUGGCUCUGGUUAAUACCUGGGGUCGAUGACGGUACCGGAAGAAUAAGGACCGGCUAACUACGUGCCAGCAGCCGCGGUAAUACGUAGGGUCCAAGCGUUAAUCGGAAUUACUGGGCGUAAAGCGUGCGCAGGCGGUUGUGCAAGACCGAUGUGAAAUCCCCGAGCUUAACUUGGGAAUUGCAUUGGUGACUGCACGGCUAGAGUGUGUCAGAGGGGGGUAGAAUUCCACGUGUAGCAGUGAAAUGCGUAGAGAUGUGGAGGAAUACCGAUGGCGAAGGCAGCCCCCUGGGAUAACACUGACGCUCAUGCACGAAAGCGUGGGGAGCAAACAGGAUUAGAUACCCUGGUAGUCCACGCCCUAAACGAUGUCAACUAGUUGUUGGGGAUUCAUUUCCUUAGUAACGUAGCUAACGCGUGAAGUUGACCGCCUGGGAGUACGGUCGCAAGAUUAAAAGCUCAAAGG